CGGGUGUGUAAGCGCAGCGAUGCGUUGAGCUAACCGGUACUAAUGAACCGUGAGGCUUAACCUUACAACGCCAAAG
rnacentral:rRNA from 1 species